CUACGGGGCGCAGCAGUGAGGAAUAUUGCACAAUGGGGGGAGCCCUGAUGCAGCAACGCCGCGUGGAGGAUGACGCAUUUCGGUGUGUAAACUCCUUUUAUAUGUCAAGAAAAUGACGGUAGCAUAUGAAUAAGCGCCGGCUAACUCCGUGCCAGCAGCCGCGGUAAUACGGAGGGCGCAAGCGUUACUCGGAAUCACUGGGCGUAAAGGACGCGUAGGCGGGUUGAAAAGUCAGGUGUGAAAUCCUACAGCUUAACUGUAGAACUGCACUUGAAACUUCUAAUCUAGAGUAUGGGAGGGGGAGAUGGAAUUAGUGGUGUAGGGGUAAAAUCCGUAGAUAUCACUAGGAAUACCUAAAGCGAAGGCGAUCUCCUGGAACAUUACUGACGCUAAGGCGUGAAAGCGUGGGGAGCAAACAGGAUUAGAUACCCUUGUAGUC
rnacentral:rRNA from 1 species